rnacentral:rRNA from 1 species
GCGCCAGACUCCUACGGGAGGCAGCAGUGGGGAAUAUUGCGCAAUGGGGGAAACCCUGACGCAGCAACGCCGCGUGAGUGAGGAAGUAUCUCGGUCUGUAAAUCUCUAUCAGCGGGGAAGAAAGAGGACGGUACCCGACUAAGAAGCCCCAGCUAACUACGUGCCAGCAGCCGCGGUAAUACGUAGGGGGCGAGCGUUAUCCGGAUUUACUGGGUGUAAAGGGAGCGUAGACGGCGUCGCAAGUCUGAAGUGAAAGCCCGUGGCUCAACCGCGGAACUGCUUUGGGAACUGUUUUGCUGGAGUAUGGGAGGGGUAAGCGGAAUUCCUGGUGUAGCGGUGAAAUGCGUAGAUAUCAGGAGGGACACCGGUGGCGAAGGCGGCUUACUGGACCAUGACUGACGUUGAGGCUCGAAAGCGUGGGGAGCAAACAGGAUUAGAUACCCUAGUAC